CACGUAGGGCGCAAGCGUUGUCCGGAAUUAUUGGGCGUAAAGAGCUCGUAGGUGGUUUGUUACGUCUGCUGUGAAAACCUAGGGCUUAACCCUGGGCUUGCAGUGGAUACGGGCAGACUAGAGGUAGGUAGGGGAGAAUGGAAUUCCUGGUGUAGCGGUGAAAUGCGCAGAUAUCAGGAGAACACCGGUGGCGAAAGGCGGUCUCUCGAG
rnacentral:rRNA from 1 species